rnacentral:rRNA from 1 species
GGUUAAGCGACUAAGCGUACACGGUGGAUGCCCUGGCAGUCAGAGGCGAUGAAGGACGUGCUAAUCUGCGAUAAGCGUCGGUAAGGUGAUAUGAACCGUUAUAACCGGCGAUUUCCGAAUGGGGAAACCCAGUGUGAUUCGUCACACUAUCAUUAACUGAAUCCAUAGGUUAAUGAGGCGAACCGGGGGAACUGAAACAUCUAAGUACCCCGAGGAAAAGAAAUCAACCGAGAUUCCCCCAGUAGCGGCGAGCGAACGGGGAGCAGCCCAGAGCCUGAAUCAGUGUGUGUGUUAGUGGAAGCGUCUGGAAAGGCGCGCGAUACAGGGUGACAGCCCCGUACACAAAAAUGCACAUGCUGUGAGCUCGAUGAGUAGGGCGGGACACGUGGUAUCCUGUCUGAAUAUGGGGGGACCAUCCUCCAAGGCUAAAUACUCCUGACUGACCGAUAGUGAACCAGUACCGUGAGGGAAAGGCGAAAAGAACCCCGGCGAGGGGAGUGAAAAAGAACCUGAAACCGUGUACGUACAAGCAGUGGGAGCACAGAGCAAUCUGUGUGACUGCGUACCUUUUGUAUAAUGGGUCAGCGACUUAUAUUCUGUAGCAAGGUUAACCGAAUAGGGGAGCCGAAGGGAAACCGAGUCUUAACUGGGCGUUAAGUUGCAGGGUAUAGACCCGAAACCCGGUGAUCUAGCCAUGGGCAGGUUGAAGGUUGGGUAACACUAACUGGAGGACCGAACCGACUAAUGUUGAAAAAUUAGCGGAUGACUUGUGGCUGGGGGUGAAAGGCCAAUCAAACCGGGAGAUAGCUGGUUCUCCCCGAAAGCUAUUUAGGUAGCGCCUCGUGAAUUCAUCUCCGGGGGUAGAGCACUGUUUCGGCAAGGGGGUCAUCCCGACUUACCAACCCGAUGCAAACUGCGAAUACCGGAGAAUGUUAUCACGGGAGACACACGGCGGGUGCUAACGUCCGUCGUGAAGAGGGAAACAACCCAGACCGCCAGCUAAGGUCCCAAAGUCAUGGUUAAGUGGGAAACGAUGUGGGAAGGCCCAGACAGCCAGGAUGUUGGCUUAGAAGCAGCCAUCAUUUAAAGAAAGCGUAAUAGCUCACUGGUCGAGUCGGCCUGCGCGGAAGAUGUAACGGGGCUAAACCAUGCACCGAAGCUGCGGCAGCGACGCUGAUGCGUUGUUGGGUAGGGGAGCGUUCUGUAAGCCUGCGAAGGUGUGCUGUGAGGCAUGCUGGAGGUAUCAGAAGUGCGAAUGCUGACAUAAGUAACGAUAAAGCGGGUGAAAAGCCCGCUCGCCGGAAGACCAAGGGUUCCUGUCCAACGUUAAUCGGGGCAGGGUGAGUCGACCCCUAAGGCGAGGCCGAAAGGCGUAGUCGAUGGGAAACAGGUUAAUAUUCCUGUACUUGGUGUUACUGCGAAGGGGGGACGGAGAAGGCUAUGUUGGCCGGGCGACGGUUGUCCCGGUUUAAGCGUGUAGGCUGGUUUUCCAGGCAAAUCCGGAAAAUCAAGGCUGAGGCGUGAUGACGAGGCACUACGGUGCUGAAGCAACAAAUGCCCUGCUUCCAGGAAAAGCCUCUAAGCAUCAGGUAACAUCAAAUCGUACCCCAAACCGACACAGGUGGUCAGGUAGAGAAUACCAAGGCGCUUGAGAGAACUCGGGUGAAGGAACUAGGCAAAAUGGUGCCGUAACUUCGGGAGAAGGCACGCUGAUAUGUAGGUGAAGUCCCUCGCGGAUGGAGCUGAAAUCAGUCGAAGAUACCAGCUGGCUGCAACUGUUUAUUAAAAACACAGCACUGUGCAAACACGAAAGUGGACGUAUACGGUGUGACGCCUGCCCGGUGCCGGAAGGUUAAUUGAUGGGGUUAGCGCAAGCGAAGCUCUUGAUCGAAGCCCCGGUAAACGGCGGCCGUAACUAUAACGGUCCUAAGGUAGCGAAAUUCCUUGUCGGGUAAGUUCCGACCUGCACGAAUGGCGUAAUGAUGGCCAGGCUGUCUCCACCCGAGACUCAGUGAAAUUGAACUCGCUGUGAAGAUGCAGUGUACCCGCGGCAAGACGGAAAGACCCCGUGAACCUUUACUAUAGCUUGACACUGAACAUUGAGCCUUGAUGUGUAGGAUAGGUGGGAGGCUUUGAAGUGUGGACGCCAGUCUGCAUGGAGCCGACCUUGAAAUACCACCCUUUAAUGUUUGAUGUUCUAACGUUGACCCGUAAUCCGGGUUGCGGACAGUGUCUGGUGGGUAGUUUGACUGGGGCGGUCUCCUCCUAAAGAGUAACGGAGGAGCACGAAGGUUGGCUAAUCCUGGUCGGACAUCAGGAGGUUAGUGCAAUGGCAUAAGCCAGCUUGACUGCGAGCGUGACGGCGCGAGCAGGUGCGAAAGCAGGUCAUAGUGAUCCGGUGGUUCUGAAUGGAAGGGCCAUCGCUCAACGGAUAAAAGGUACUCCGGGGAUAACAGGCUGAUACCGCCCAAGAGUUCAUAUCGACGGCGGUGUUUGGCACCUCGAUGUCGGCUCAUCACAUCCUGGGGCUGAAGUAGGUCCCAAGGGUAUGGCUGUUCGCCAUUUAAAGUGGUACGCGAGCUGGGUUUAGAACGUCGUGAGACAGUUCGGUCCCUAUCUGCCGUGGGCGCUGGAGAAUUGAGGGGGGCUGCUCCUAGUACGAGAGGACCGGAGUGGACGCAUCACUGGUGUUCGGGUUGUCAUGCCAAUGGCACUGCCCGGUAGCUAAAUGCGGAAGAGAUAAGUGCUGAAAGCAUCUAAGCACGAAACUUGCCCCGAGAUGAGUUCUCCCUGACUCCUUGAGAGUCCUGAAGGAACGUUGAAGACGACGACGUUGAUAGGCCGGGUGUGUAAGCGCAGCGAUGCGUUGAGCUAACCGGUACUAAUGAACCGUGAGGCUUAACCUU